ensembl:snRNA U6 U6 spliceosomal RNA
AUGCUCACUUUGGCAGCUCAUAAAUUAAAAUUGGAAUGACACGGAGAAGAUUCACACGGCCCGUUCACAAGGCUGACACAAAAAUUUGUGAAGCUUUUCACAUUUGG